CGUAAGCGCGGGCGGCUUGUUUCAGACGUCUGCCCUUUUCCGUUCUGUUCGGAGGCUGGAAAGCAGAUGCGGGAGCAGUGCCGCUUCCAGUGUGUUCCGUGUGGACAGGAGUCUAGGGGAGCUCAGCCACGGCCUGUCAGGGGCCUAGGCUUUCUGCGAGGCCUGCGCUCUCUGAACGGGACCGAGUGUAGCUCACGGUGGAAACGCAGCAAGGGCUCCUGACAGGUGUUGUGGCUCCUCUCGCCAGUGAGGCUGUGGACCACCGCAGCUGGAGGAAGAGGCCGUGGGCCCAGAAAUGCAGGCGCCUCCAGAAGCUGGAAAAGACAAGAAAACAGUCAUCCCCCGGGCCUCCAGAAGGAACACAGCCCAGCGACUCCAGUCUCAGCAGACGUCCAAAACUAGCCUCGGGAGCCCCGAGACACAGCGUGCAGGACGAGAGAAGAGAGUGAUCGGCCGUCGGCCCCCCAGAGGCCCGCGUGGAAUUGCCGAGCCAGCAGAGCCGCGCGUCGGACCCCCGGAACAGAGCACUGGUGCUAGAAGACAACGGACCAACAAGCCGGAAAGUACGAGUAUACAUUACGCAAUGGUUCCCACGACCAGAAAUGCAAUCACACGGAUGACUCCCAACUCUGUCUGCCUUCGUUCACCCCCUGAACGUUACGUUUGUGACAUUCAUCCACGUGUGGCGGUAACUCCUUCAUUUCCACCACCGGGCAGCAUUCCAAGGUGUGACCGUGCACAACGCACUCAACCGCCCCCUACCGGCGGCCACGCAGUUUCCGGCUUGGGGCCUCCCUGAACUGUGCCGCUGAACAGGAACGUGCCGAGUCGAGCCGAAGCCAUGCUGCUCUGACUGAUGCUGUUGUACAGCUUUCUACUCUGCAGACUCCGUUAGUAUCCACUACUAAACACACUUGGAUCCCACGCUGAUGACAAGCCUCUGUGGACACCUGGGAGCCUCUGUUUCCAUGUGAGGUAGGACUUCGUUGGCUUCUUUGGGUUACCACCAAAACCAGAUGGGAGUUUCAGACUAGGGAUGUAAGAAUGUGAGUGUCGGCUCCACAAUGGACCACAGCCAGGAACCAGAGCACCUGAGGGAACCCAGGCAUCUGUUCUGCCUUCUUGGCAUGCCUGCCAACCGGGAAGAAGAUGGUUUUUGCCAAAGGCACUCAGGGUUUCUCUACCUGGGGUCGAGAGAGUUGUGCCCAACUCCAGCCAACCCGGAGUCUCUUAGCACCAGGAAAGUCUCUGCCUGGAUCAGCUGUGGUGAAGUCGCCUCCAGAGCAAGGGACUUUGUCAACAGCAGACGCCGAACAAACAUGGCGGUUCCCACUGCGACCAUCAGACGGCUGUUGGAGGGGCGGGCUGAGUGAGAAGGGGCAGUUUCCACGGAAGCCUGAGUAGUUAAGAUCAGACAUCCACACAUUUCAAGGUCUCUGGUGGACGUACAGCCCCAGACCUGGAAACGCAAUUUUAACUAAAGCCCCAAUGUCAAGGGUUUUCUUAUCACCAUUUUCUAUGUAAUUGGCGAUCAUAGCUGGCUGUCUUCAUCUGGGUCCUCCCAGAGGCAGGGCUGAGAUGUAGAUUUGAGUACAAGCGGUUUAUCCAGAGCGUGUGUGGUGCGGUGUGUAAGAUCACUUUGGCACGUUCAGAGUUUUGUCUGGAGACGGAAGGCAACCACUGACAAGGAAAUCACAUGUUUUAUGCAAAUAGGAGAGACAACUCGGUGUAUGUCAGCAUGCCCAAACCCCAAAUAAUCUAUUUUCAAGUUUUAGGGCAGUAAAUCAUUGGCUGUUACCUUCUUUGAAAAACACAAAACUUGUAGAUUAGAGGCAGUGCUGGAAUUCAUUUUCCACGGUGUGUGUGUGUGUGUGUGUGUGUGUGUGUGUGU